rnacentral:rRNA from 1 species
UACCUUAAGACAAAAAUAAUUUAAGGCAAGCCCUGCCCAGUGAAAUCUUCAACGGCCGCGGUAUCCUAACCGUGCAAAGGUAGCAUAAUAACUUGCCUAUUAAUUAUAGGAUAGAAUGAAAGGGUAAACGAAAUAGGAGCUGUCUCUAUUAGCCCAAUGAAAAUUAUUUUUUAACUGAAGAAAGUUAAAUUCAACUGAAGGACAAGAAGACCCUAUAGAGCUUAAUUUAACCUACUAAAUAAGUAAAAAUUAAAUUCAGUUGGGGCGACCGAUGCUCUACAAAUCAUCACCCACAAAAAGAAAUAUACAUCUCAAAAAAGACCCUGACCCAGAUCAAAAAAACAAGCUACCUUAGGGAUAACAGGCUAAUCUCAUUAAUGAGUCCCCAUCUAUAAUGUUGGUUGGCACCUCGAUGUUGGCUUAGGGAAUCAAAAGGGCGCAGAAGCUUUUUAAGACGGUUUGUUCAACCAUUAAACCCCUA